rnacentral:rRNA from 1 species
GACGUAGGGCGCGAGCGUUGUCCGGAUUUAUUGGGCGUAAAGAGCUCGUAGGCGGCUUGUCGCGUCGUCCGUGAAAACCCACAGCUCAACUGUGGGCUUGCGGUCGAUACGGGCAGGCUAGAGUUCGGUAGGGGAGACUGGAAUUCCUGGUGUAGCGGUGAAAUGCGUAGAUAUCGGGAGGAACACCGGUGGCGAAGGCGCACAUCUGGCCCGAUACUGACGCUGAGGCGCGAAAGCUAGGGGAGCAAACGGG